GACGAACGCUGGCGGCGUGCUUAACACAUGCAAGUCGAACGGUGAAAGCGGAGCUUGCUCCGCUGGAUCAGUGGCGAACGGGUGAGUAACACGUGGGAAACCUGCCCCUCACUUCGGGAUAACUCCGGGAAACCGGGGCUAAUACCGGAUAUGACCUCCUUGGGCAUCCUUGGAGGUGGAAAGUUUUUCGGUGAGGGAUGGGCCGGCGGCCUAUCAGCUUGUUGGUGAGGAAGUGGCGCACACAGGCGACGACGGGUAGCCGGCCUGAGAGGGCGACCGGCCACACUGGGACUGAGACACGGCACAGAAUCCGACGGGAGGCAGCAGUGGGGAAUAUUGCGCAAUGGGCGAAGGCCGGACGCAGCAACGCCGCGUGCGGGAUGACGGCCUUCGGGUUGUAAACCGCUUUCAGCAGGGAAGAAGCCGCAAGGUGACGGUACCUGCAGAAGAAGCACCGGCUAACUACGUGCCAGCCGCCGCAGUAAAAC
rnacentral:rRNA from 1 species